AGGUUCGAAUCCUGCACGACCCACCAAUUUAGCAUCAAACUCAGAUGUUAAGCGUGAAGGAUAACGUUGUUUCAGCAACGGCCCGAAGGGUGAGGCGAAGCCGAGUCAUCCUGCACGACCCACCA
rnacentral:sRNA from 1 species